rnacentral:rRNA from 1 species
GAAUUUAAUAUAAUUUUAUUUAUAUGAUUUUAUUUGAGAAAGUUUAAGUAGGAUUAUAUUUUGUUGGGAGGAUAGUUAAAUAUUAAUAACUUUAAUUAAGAUUAAAUAUAAAUUAAUAAAUUUUAGAAUGGUUUAUAGAUUGAUUAAGAAUUAAUUACCUUAGGGAUAACAGCGUAAUAUUUUUAGAGAGUUCAUAUUAAUAGAAAUGGUUGC